CUACGGGGGGUGCAAGCGUUGUCCGGAAUCAUUGGGCGUAAAGGGUUCGUAGGUGGAAUUAUAAGUCUGGUGCGAAAGCCCACAGCUCAACUGUGGAACUGCACUGGAUACUGUCUUUCUUGAGUUAUAGAGGGGUUUGUGGAAUUUCUGGUGUAGAGGUGAAAUUUGUAGAGAUCAGAAAGAACACCGGUGGCGAAGGCGACAAACCGGCUAUUAACUGACACUGAGGAACGAAAGCGUGGGGAGCGAACAGGAUUAGAAACCCUAGUAGUCC
rnacentral:rRNA from 1 species